UACGGGCAGACUAGAGUGUGGUAGGGGAGACUGGAAUUCCUGGUGUAGCGAUGAAAUGCGCAGAUAUCAGGAGGAACACCGAUGGCGAAGGCAGGUCUAUGGGCCACUACUGUCGUUGAGAAGCGAAAGCAUGGGGAGCGAACAGGAUUAGAUAACUUGGUAGUACAUGCCGUAAACGUUGGGCGCUAGGUGUGGGACUCAUUCCACGAGUUCCGUGCCGCAGGUAACGCAUUAAGCGCUCCGCCUGGGGAGUACGGCCGCAAGGAUAAAACUCAAAGGAAUGGACGGGGGCCCGCACAAGCGGCGGAGCCUGCGGACUAAUUAGAUGCAACGCGACGAUCAUUACCAAGGCCUGACAUAUACCGGAAACAUCCAGAGAUGGGUGCACCUAUUAGGUCGGUAUACAGUUGGCGCAUGGUGGUAGUCAGGUCGUGUCGUGAGAUGUUGGGUUAAGUCCCGCAACGAGCGCAACCCUCCUUGUAUGUUGCCAGCACGUUAUGGUGGGGCCUCAUGGAAGACUGCCGGGGUCAACUCGGAGGAAGGUGGGGAUGACGUCAAAUCAUCAUGCCCCUUAUGUCUUGGGCUUCACGCAUGCUACAAUGGCCGGUACAAAGGGCUGCGAAACCGUAAGCUGGAGCGAAUCCCAAAAAACCGGUCUCAGUUCGGAUUGGGGUCUGCAACUCGACCCCAUGAAGUCGGAGUCGUUAGUAAUCGCAGAUCAGCAACGCUGCGGUGAAUACGUUCCCGGGCCUUGUACACACCGCCCGUCAAGUCACGAAAGUCGGUAACACCCGAAGCCGGUGGCCCAACCC
rnacentral:rRNA from 1 species